rnacentral:rRNA from 1 species
CAAGUCAAGGGGGCCCAGCAAUGGGCAACCGGCGAACGGGUGCGUAACACGUGAGCAACCUACCGAACUGUGGGGGAUAGCCGGCCUAACGGCCGAGUAAUACCGCAUACGCUUUCAUUGAGGCAUUUCAGUGAAAGGAAACCUACGGGACAGAUCGAGGGGCUCGCGGCCUAUCAGCUAGUUGGCGAGGUAACGGCUCACCAAGGCAACGACGGGUAGCUGGUCUGAGAGGAUGGCCAGCCACAUUGGGACUGAGAUACGGCCCAGACUCCUACGGGAGGCAGCAGUGGGGAAUCUUGCGCAAUGGCCUAACGGCUGACGCAGCGACGCCGCGUGUGGGAUGAAGCUCUUCGGAGUGUAAACCACUGUUGCCCGGGACGAAUAGCUCGAUUAAUCGAGCCUGACGGUACCGGGUGAGGAAGCACCGGCUAACUCCGUGCCAGCAGCCGCGGUAAUACAGGGGGUGCGAGCGUUGUCCGGAAUCACUGGGCGUAAAGGGCGCGUAGGUGGUUUGAUAAGGGUGUGGUGAAAGUCCGGGGCUCAACCCCGGAUCUGCCGUGCCGACUGUCAAACUCGAGGGCUGUAGAGGCAGGCGGAAUUCCGGGUGUAGCGGUGGAAUGCGUAGAGAUCCGGAGGAAGACCGGUGGCGAAGGCGGCCUGCUGGGCAGUUUCUGACACUGAUGCGCGACAGCGUGGGGAGCAAACAGGAUUAGAUACCCUGGCAGUCCACGCCGUAAACGAUGGGUACUAGGUGCCUGGGGGAGCGACCCUCUGGGUGCCGGCGCUAACGCAGGAAGUACCCCGCCUGGGGAGUACGACCGCAAGGUUGAAACUCAAAGGAAUUGACGGGGGCCCGCACAAGCGGUGGAACAUGU